CGACCGCAGGUCAAGGCGGGACUACCCGCUGAGUUUAAGCCUAUCAAUAGCGGAGGAAAAGAAACUUUACUAGGAUUCCUUAUGUAACUGGCGAGCGAACCCGGGAACAGCCUACAGCUGAAAAUCGGGGCGCUUCGUCGUCCGAAUUGUAGUCUGGAGAAGCGUCCUAGCGGCGGACCGGGCUCCCAAGUCCCCUGGAAGGGCGCCGGAGAGGGUGAGAAGCCCCGUCGUGCCCGACCCUGGUCGCCCAACGAUGGCGUCUGUCCUGCCGAGUCGGGUUGUUUGGCGGGAAUGCAGCCCAAUAGGGCGGUAAUUCCGUCCCAAGGCUAAAUACUGGGCGUGAGACCGAUAGCAAACAAGGUACCAUCCCGUGUGCGAGAGUAGCGAGGGAAAGAUGAAAAAGGAACUUUGAAAAGAGAGUUAAAGAGUGGCUAUGAAAUUGUCGAGGGAAGCGACACUGGGGGCCGGCGAUGCCGUCCCGGUCGGAUGUGGAACGGUGUCAUGUCGGUUCCGCCGAUCGUCUCGGGACGUGGACCGGUGCGCGAUUGGUACUGGGGCCAAAUUUGCCCAGGCUGUUUGAUAUGCCUGUGGAGAUUGCCGUUGUGCCGAUCGGUGGUUUGGCAGCGCGCGGCCGGUCACGGCGUGCUUCGGGCACCUCGUGCUUCCUGGCCCGGCCUGCGGGCACCCCAUUCGGCCCGUCUUGCAAAACACGGACAAGGAGUCUGAAUGUGUGCGAGUGUCAACGGGUGGAGUAAACCCGCAAGCGCAGGAAGCUGAUUGGCGGUGGAUCCCCCUCGUGGGGUGCGACCGCCGACCGACCUUGAUCUUCUGAGAAGGGUUCGAUUGUGAGCAUGCCUGUCGGACCCGAAAGAUGGUGAACUAUGCCUGAGCGGGGGCGAAUCCAGAGGAAACUCUGGUGGAGGCCCGCCAGCGAUACUGACGUGAAAUCGUGACUGGGUAUAGGGGCGAAAGACUAAUCGAACCGUCUAGUCUGGUUCCCUCCGAAGUUUUCCCUCAGGGGAUAGCUGGAGCCGGGUGCGAGUUUCUAUCGGGGUAAAGCGAAUGAUUAGAGGCAUCGGGGGCGCAACGCCCUCGACCUAUUCUCAAACUUUAAAUAGUAGGACGCGCCGGCUGCUUUGUUGAGCCGCGCCACGGAUCGAGAGCUCCAAGUGGGCCAUUUUUGGUAAGCAGAACUGGCGAUGCGGGAUGGAACAGGGAAGCCGGGUUACGGUGCCAAACUGCGCGGUAACCUAGAACCCACAAAGGGUGUUGGUCGAUUAAGACAGCAGGACGGUGGUCAUGGAAGUCGAAAUCCGCUAGAGAGUGUUAACAACUCACCUGCCGAAUCAACUAGCCGAAAUGGAUGGCGCUUAAGCGCGCGACCUACACCGGCCGUCGAGGCAAGUGCCAGGCCCCGAUGAGUAGGAGGGCGCGGCGGUCGCUGCAAAACCUUGGGCGUGAGCCGGGCGGAGCGGCCGUUCGGUGCGGAUCUUUGGUGGUAGUAGCAAAUAUUCAAAUGAGAACUUUGAAGGCCGAAAGGGGAAAGGUUCCAUGUGAACGGCACUUGCACUGGGUUAGUCGAAUUCCUAAGAGACGGGAAGCCCGUCAGAUAGCGUGUUUUCACGCGAGCUUCGAAGGGAAUCGGGUUAAAAUUCCUGAACCGGGAGUGGCGCGCUGACAGGCAACGUUAGGGAUUCCGAGACGUCGGCGGGGCCUCGCGGAAGAGUAUCUUUUCUGUUUAACAGCCUGCCACCUUGGAAACGACUCAGUCGGAGGUAGGUCCAGCGGCUGGAAGAGCACCGCCGUCGACGCGUGUGUCGGUUGCGCCCCCGGCGGCCCUUGAAAAUCCGGAGGACCGAGUGCCUCCCACGCCGGGUCGUACUUCAUAACCGCAUAGGUCUCCAAGGUGAACAGCCUCUGGUCGAUGGAACAAUGUAGGCAAGGGAAGUCGGCAAAAUGGAUCCGUAACCUCGGGAAAAGGAUUGGCUCUGAGGGCUGGGCACGGGGGUCCCUGUCCCGAACCCGUCGGCUGUCGGUGGACUGCUCGAGCUGCUUCCGCGGCUGGAGAGCGGGUCACCGCGUUGCCGGCGGUGGGGACGGACUGGACGGCCUCUUCGGGCCUUCCCCGGGCGUCGAACAGCCAACUCAGAACUGGUACGGACAAGGGGAAUCCGACUGUUUAAUUAAAACAAAGCAUUUGCGAUGGUUCCUGCGGAUGCUA
rnacentral:ncRNA from 1 species